rnacentral:tRNA from 1 species
UCCCUGGUGGUCUGGUGGUUAAGACCCUGCACUUCCAGUGUAGGGGGUGCAGGUUUGAUUCCUGGUCAAGGAA